GAUGAAGAACGCAGCGAAAUGCGAUAAGUAAUGUGAAUUGCAGAAUUCAGUGAAUCAUCGAAUCUUUGAACGCACAUGGCGCCCGCCAGUAUUCUGGCGGGCAUGCCUGUUCGAGCGUCAUUUCAACCAUCAAGCCCUGCUUGCGUUGGGGUCCUGCGGCUGCCCGCAGGCCCUGAAAACCAGUGGCGGGCUCGCUAGUCACACCGAGCGCAGUAAUACAUCUCGCUUUGGGCGUGCGGCGGGUUCUUGCCGUUAAACACCCCCUUUUUACCAAGGUUGACCUCGGAUCAGGUAGGAAUACCCGCUGAACUUAAGCAUAUCAAUAAGCGGAGGA
rnacentral:misc_RNA from 1 species